CCCAAAUACAGUGGCGGUCCCGCCGCAGCUUCCAUUGCGUAGUAGCUAACACCUCGCAACUGGAGAGCGGCGCGGCCACGCCGUAAAACACCCAACUUCUGAAUGUUGACCUCGAAUCAGGUAGGAAUACCCGCUGAACUUAAGCAUAUCAAUAAGCGGAGGAAAAGAAACCAACAGGGAUUGCCCCAGUAACGGCGAGUGAAGCGGCAACAGCUCAAAUUUGAAAUCUGGCUCUCGGGCCCGAGUUGUAAUUUGUAGAGGAUGCUUUUGGUGAGGUGCCUUCCGAGUUCCCUGGAACGGGACGCCAUAGAGGGUGAGAGCCCCGUCUGGUUGGACACCGAUCCUCUGUAAAGCUCCUUCGACGAGUCGAGUAGUUUGGGAAUGCUGCUCUAAAUGGGAGGUAUAUGUCUUCUAAAGCUAAAUACCGGCCAGAGACCGAUAGCGCACAAGUAGAGUGAUCGAAAGAUGAAAAGAACUUUGAAAAGAGAGUUAAACAGUACGUGAAAUUGUUGAAAGGGAAGCGCUUGUGACCAGACUUGGGCUUGGUUGAUCAUCCGGGGUUCUCCCCGGUGCACUCUUCCGGCUCAGGCCAGCAUCAGUUCGCCCUGGGGGACAAAGGCUUCGGGAAUGUGGCUCUCUCCGGGGAGUGUUAUAGCCCGUUGCGUAAUACCCUGUGGCGGACUGAGGUUCGCGCAUUCGCAAGGAUGCUGGCGUAAUGGUCAUCAGUGACCCGUCUUGAAACACGGACCAAGGAGUCGUCUUCGUAUGCGAGUGUUCGGGUGUCAAACCCCUACGCGAAAUGAAAGUGAACGCAGGUGAGAGCUUCGGCGCAUCAUCGACCGAUCCUGAUGUUAUCGGAUGGAUUUGAGUAAGAGCAUACGGGGCCGGACCCGAAAGAAGGUGAACUAUGCCUGUGUAGGGUGAAGCCAGAGGAAACUCUGGUGGAGGCUCGCAGCGGUUCUGACGUGCAAAUCGAUCGUCAAACAUGGGCAUGGGGGCGAAAGACUAAUCGAAC
rnacentral:rRNA from 1 species